UACGUAGGGGCAAGCGUUGUCCGGAUUUAUUGGGCGUAAAGAGCUCGUAGGCGGUUCGUAAGUCGGGUGUGAAAACUCUGGGCUCAACCCAGAGACGCCACCCGAUACUGCGAUGACUAGAGUCUGGUAGGGGAUCGUGGAAUUCCUGGUGUGAGCGGUGAAAUGCGCAGAUAUCAGGAGGAACACCAGCGGCGAAGGCGGCGAUCUGGGCCAGUACUGACGCUGAGGAGCGAAAGCGUGGGGAGCGAACAGG
rnacentral:rRNA from 1 species